rnacentral:rRNA from 1 species
UGGGGAAUAUUGGACAAUGGGCGCAAGCCUGAUCCAGCCAUGCCGCGUGAGUGACGAAGGCCUUAGGGUUGUAAAGCUCUUUUUGGCGGGGACGAUAAUGACGGUACCCGCAGAAUAAGCUCCGGCUAACUUCGUGCCAGCAGCCGCGGUAAUACGAAGGGAGCUAGCGUUGUUCGGAAUCACUGGGCGUAAAGCGCACGUAGGCGGAUAGUUAAGUCAGGGGUGAAAUCCUGGGGCUCAACCCCAGAACUGCCUUUGAUACUGGCUGUCUCGAGGUCGAGAGAGGUUGGUGGAAUUCCUAGUGUAGAGGUGAAAUUCGUAGAUAUUAGGAAGAACACCAGUGGCGAAGGCGGCCAACUGGCUCGAUACUGACGCUGAGGUGCGAAAGCGUGGGGAGCAAACAGGAUUAGAUACCCAAGUAGUCCCUGAGCGGGCUGGCAAGGCGCAU